AAUGAGAAAGGAAGGAGAAGGCUACUGUCAGCUGUCUGGCGCUGUUGGAGAAAGCAAGAUGGACUUACUGUGACAGGUUCAUAUGGCUCUCCAUAGCAGAUAUGGUAAUGCAAGAUUAAGGAGAACUCUCUGGGCCAGGAUCCAAGAUUAUGCUGACAAGGCACUGGCUGCAUUUUAAAACUUGAAGUAUGUCAAAGAAAAGCUGCUUCCUCCUUGAGCAGCUACUGUCAAGGUGCCCUUCAGCAAGGCUUUGAUCCGACUCUUACACUGGCAGAUCGAAACAUCUUAACGAUACCAACUCAAAGAGGAGCUUCCACAGGAUUACAAAUGAAGAGUACCAGCUCUUCUUCAAAACCAUCAUCAUUUCUGUUAAGACAUGAGAUUUGGCACCUUUCUGAUCA